rnacentral:tRNA from 1 species
GGGGAUUUAGCUCAGUGGUAGAGCGCUUGCCUAGCAAGCACAAGGCCCCCAGCUUGUGCUUCGGUCUUCUGGGUUCGGUCCCCAGCUCCA